rnacentral:misc_RNA from 1 species
UUUCCGUAGGUGAACCUGCGGAAGGAUCAUUUACAAUUAGUAUUUUAUGGAACUUUUUUAAACCUGAGCCACUUUGCGUACAAUUUUGAAUUGUAGUGCGAAUGUUUGUCAUUAGCGCUACAGGAUGCAAACACCAACUCUUAUAUUUAACACCUUUAACUACAACCUGUAUGAAUACUUAAUACACAUACAACUUUCAACAACGGAUCUCUUGGCUCCC